AUUGAACGCUGGCGGCAGGCCUAACACAUGCAAGUCGAACGCGUGGCGGACGGGUGAGUCAUGUCUGGGAAACUGCCUGAUGGCGGGGGAUAACUACUGGAAACGGUAGCUAAUCCCGCAUACCAUCAGAUGUGCCAAGAUGGGAUUAGGUGGUGGGUGGGGUAACGGCUCACCAAGGCGAAGAUCCCUAGCUGGUCUGCGAGGAGGACCAGCCACACUGGAACUGAGACACGGUCCAGACUCCUACGGGAGGCAGCAGUGGGGAAUAUUGCACAAUGGGCGCAAGCCUGAUGCAGCAAUGCCGCGUGUAUGAAGAAGGUCUUCGGGUUGUAAAGUACUUUCAGAGGGGAGGCGUUACCCGCAGAAGAAGCACCGGCUAACUCCGUGCCAGCAGCCGCGGUAAUAC
rnacentral:rRNA from 1 species